GGUUCCAUGGUCUAGCGGUUAGGACAUUGGACUCUUAAUCUAGUAACCCGAGUUCAAAUUACGGUGCAACCU
rnacentral:tRNA from 1 species